UUUAGCUAUCUUUGUUUCUCUCCGACGAAAUCAAAAGGUAUACCAAAUUUACUAGAUUGGACGCAUUAUCAAUUAUCAAUAGCACAACGAGCCAUUGCGUCCGUUGGGUCCUCUCCUCUCCGCGCAUCAAUUUUCUACAUGGAGUGUUGGCCUGCGUCAUGAUCAGAACUGUCGAGACGCAAGAACUGUCAAGUGGCUACUCUCUAGCACCACGGCUGUUGUGACAACUGACGACAUAUGGUCGACACAUGCCUAUUUCUGGUGCGGCGCCGACGAAGACAGCAUAACUGAUAGCUGACUGCCACGGCCGACGGCAUCGCCGUCCACCGGUCCACGGCUGCUGUCUGUCUUCUCCGAAACGGCGACAACAAAUUAAAACAACGUGACCGAUGGGUGAUUACCAUGAUACGGUGGCAACGACGACAACGGCAAGUCGGCAACCAUGGCUGCUGCGCAUUGCAGAUGCCUGCCUGUUCCGGUACGGCGGCGACGAAGAACAUGUGGCUGCACGUAGAAGAAUGACGUCGGCCUCGGCAACGAAGACAACAUGUGGCUGCACGUAGAAGAAUGACGUCGGUGGUGGCGACGAUGUACGUUUGAGGACAUGGUCGCAUCAUGGUUUGAAAGAAGUUGUGUACGAUCGUCCAAAUCUUAGCUUCAGGAAUCAGUGAAAUGAUAGAUAAACUACUUGUACUGUUGUACCCUAUAAAUGUGAUACAUACUCCAUACUCCA